AACACCCAGCAGUGGCAGAGUCAGCUGUUGUCAGCAGUCCUGAUCCAGAUCGAGGGGAGGUAGUCAAAGCCUUCAUUGUUUUAACUCCUGCUUUUGCAUCACACGAUCCAGAAAAAUUAACUCAAGAGCUUCAACAGCAUGUCAAGAAAGUGACUGCACCUUACAAGUAUCCAAGGAAGGUGGAGUUUGUUCAGGAUCUGCCAAAGACGGUUAGUGGGAAAAUCCAGAGAAAGGUCCUAAGGAACAGAGAGUGGGGGAGAGAAUGACAAGGGCAAGAGUGAUCUGGAAAACGAGGAGAGAAGUGUUCCAUCACUGGUACCAGCCAUAACACAUCAAAUUUGGCAUGUGGUCAUGACCCAGAGAACUAGGAGAACAUCUAGAAAAAACAAGCUAUGGAAGAAAAAGGAGAAAACACUCAUAUGGUUUGAGGAUGUGUGGUAUUGGAACGUCUUUUGCCAUUGACCUAAAAAUUUUCAGAAGACAGAAGUUGCAAAUAAUUAAGAGUAUGGAAUGGGAGAGAGAAAGGACACACCCAGGAGCCUACAAAGGAUUGUUUUUAUUUAAAAAGUGUAACUACAAUACUUUGAUACAUAUAAAUAAAAGAGAAAAUAAUAAAAUAGUCUUUGUCCUGCUUUGUCCAGUAGUGGGUACCAGCAGAGCAUUGAUACAUUAUCUUCAAAGAAUAUAUCUUCACUGUAAUAUUUCCAAAUUCUUUCUGAGUGGAAAGAGAAAGACACUGAUAAAUUUCUGUUCUACUUGAAUGGUUAAAGUGGAGGUAAAAGAAGAUCCAAAGUGCUUCAGGUUAAGGUGCAAAUUAUGCACAAUUAACAAGGGUGUCAAUGAUUACAAGAAAAAGGUUACUUCAUGGAAAGACUUUUGCUGCUUGAUCUGUUUUCUUUUACGUUCUGUUCUCAUUACUUCAGACGAAGCAAACAAUAAAGUAGGAAGGGUUUCACUCCAAAUCCUUUUUGACAGAGAGUCAGGGUUUCACGUCUCCAGGUGAGCGUCUCUUUUGGGAAAUAUGUGGUGAAAACCAAGCAAACUGAACGAAGAGGAUCUGCCCCAGCCAGCUCUCAAGCUCUCCUGUCCACAGCAGACAGGUCAGGAAAAUGUUGUUUGUCUGAAUUCCUCGUGUUAAUGAUCAUUGAGCAGAAGCAGAUGGUACUAAACCAAGAAUAAUAAUUCCUGAUUCUUGUAGUUAUUCAAAGGACUUUGCCAUUACUGGGUCUUUUUUUUUUACUUCAUUUUCACCUCCAGGUUUGCAGAGUUUGGGAAUAUUUCAAAUAGGAUUUUUCACCAGUCAAACUUUUUUAAAAGAAUUUUUCUCCACCAAGUCCUCUUAAUAGUGUUCUGCUUUAAAGUUUAAGUACUCUCUAAAGAACUUUUUGUUAUUUAAUCCUGAUGCUGAAGUGAGUGGCACUUAGGGACAUAAUAACACUUAAUUUUAUAUCCAGGUCCUAAGACUCUUUCUCAGCAGCAGAUGAUAUGCUAUAGGAUUGUUUACAGCUGGUCAGUGUUUCUCUGCCACAAUCUCCAUGGAACACGGAGAACACCAGGAAUUCGUCUUUACCCUUGGUUUUGACUAAGUAUCUGUUCUGGGGGGAAAUCUGCAUCCAGAUUUUUUAUGCUGUCAGACAUGGCUGAAAAAAUUAAGAUGUGUUAAGUUCUAUGUAUUUGAAUUAAUUUGCCUGAUAGGCAGAUUAAAUCUUACUGUAAAAGCUUCUGCAGAGGAAUAAGGAAAUCAUUCCAAUGUUAAAGAAGUUACUUUUUCUUGAGGAAUAAAACUUGAUCAAGACUGAAAUCCAUUCAUCAGAGAUGUGAUGACAAAUGGUUAGGUUGAAGACAUGGGAUGAGGGGACUAUAAAAUGUACUAAAAAACCUGGGACAAAGGCAAAACUUUGCAGAUUCACUCAGGCCACAGAAAUUCUGCAUCAAAAAGAAUUUGAUUAAGAUUUUACAUGUAAUUUUGUUGAUAGUUUGUGGAUAGUUUCAUCCUUUGUAAGAACAGAAAUGAAAAUUACCCUGUAUUUCAAGAAUCACUCACUCUAAACCUUGUAUUGAGUUUAGUAACUAAUUGAGUUUAGUGGUUGAAAAAGGCAAAUUGAUAGUUGGACUUAGGUUCUGAAAUCAUGAGAGGCCUCCAGGACUCCCCUGGCUCCUGCUCUGACUGUGGGC